rnacentral:rRNA from 1 species
CCUACGGGCGGCAGCAGUGGGGAAUAUUGGGCAAUGGAGGAAACUCUGACCCAGCAAUGCCGCGUGAAUGAAGAAGGUCUUCGGAUGGUAAAGUUCUUUAGUCAGGGAAGAAUAAAAUUACGGUAUCUGAAGAAUAAGCUCCGGCUAACUACGGGCCAGCAGCCGCCGUAAUACGUAGGGAGCAAGCGUUGUUCGGAAUGACUGGGCGUAAAGGGUGCGUAGGUGGGUAUACAAGUUAGCAGUGAAAUACCCAGGGCGUAACUCGGGUGCUGCUUCGAAAACUGUAGGACUUGAGUGCAGAAGCGGUUAGUGGAAUUCCUAGUGUAGCGGUGGAAUGCGUAGAUAUUAGGAGGAACACCAGAGGCGAAGGCGGCUAACUGGACUGCAACUGACGCUGAGGCACGAAAGUGUGGGGAGCAAACAGGAUUAGAUACCCCAGUAGUC